rnacentral:rRNA from 1 species
AACGAACGCUGGCGGCAGGCCUAAAACAUGCAAGUCGAACGGGUGUAGCAAUACAUCAGUGGCGCACGGGUGAGUAACGCGUGGGAACGUGCCCUUCAGUACGGGACAACGUCGGGAAACUGACGCUAAUACCGUAUAAUGACUCCGGUCCAAAGAUUUAUCGCUGAAGGAGCGGCCCGCGUCUGAUUAGCUAGUUGGUGAGGUAAUGGCUCACCAAGGCUACGAUCAGUAGCAGGUCUGAGAGGAUGAUCUGCCACACUGGGACUGAGACACGGCCCAGACUCCUACGGGAGGCAGCAGUUAGGAAUAUUGGACAAUGGGCGAAAGCCUGAUCCAGCCAUGCCGCGUGUGUGAUGAAGGCCCUAGGGUUGUAAAGCACUUUCGUUGGGGAUGAUAAUGACCGUACCCAAAGAAGAAGCACCGGCUAACUUCGUG